rnacentral:lncRNA from 1 species
AGUCAUUUGUGUCGAUCUCACUAAAGUCGAUAUCAAUAUACAUAUCAAUAUAUACAAAAAUACGCUUUUUUCAUUUACAACAAAAUGGUUCAAAUCCGAAAUAGAAAAAGAAAAGGUUUGACAGAAACGGUCCGUAAAAAUAUUUAUACAGUACACCCCAUUCCCUGGGAUUGUAGUUCAAUUGGUCCUAGGCAAGCCACUAUCCAAUUUAUAUGGAAAAUGGGUUUCAUGAAAGAUU